CUAGAGAGUUGCCCUCCUGUGUGUACCUGUUUAUGUCUUAUUACUGGGACUGCAAUGAUGUGGCUUUGAAGAACUUUGCCAAGCAUUUUUUCAUCAAUCUCAUGAGGAGAGGCAACAAGCUGAGAAACCGAUGAAGCAGAAGAACCAACAAGGUGGCAGAAUCUUGCUUCGGGGUACUAAGAUGCCAGAUUGUGACAUCUGGGAGAGUGUGCUGAACGCAAUAGAGUGUGUGUGACCCUUGGAAAAAAGUGUGAAUCUGACUUUACUGGAACUGUGCAAACUGGCCACUGACAAAAACGAUCCCCACUUGUGUGACUUCAGGGAGAUGCGCUACCGGAAUGAUCAAGUGAAAUCCAUCAAAGAAUUGGGUGACCAUGUAACCAACUUAUGCAAGAUGGGGGCCCCCAAAUCUGGUAUCUUUUGGCCAAGCACACUCUGGGAGACAGUGAUGACAAGAGCUAA
rnacentral:lncRNA from 1 species